UACGGAAGGGGCAAGCGUUGUUCGGAAUCAUUGGGCGUAAAGGGUGCGUAGGUGGCGCGCUAAGUCAGGUGUGAAAUCUCGGGCUUAACUCCGAAACUGCAUUUGAUACUGGCGUGCUUUGGAGGACUGGAGAGGAGACUGGAAUUCAUGGUGUAGCAGUGAAAUGCGUAGAGAUCAUGAGGAAGACCAGUGGCGAAGGCGGGUCUCUGGA
rnacentral:rRNA from 1 species